CAGCCGCCGCGGGAAUACAGAGGGUGCAAGCGUUAAUCGGAAUUACUGGGCGUAAAGCGCGCGUAGGUGGUUCGCCAAGUCGGAUGUGAAAUCCCUGAGCUUAACUUAGGAAUUGCAUUCGAUACUGGGAAGCUAGAGUAUGGGAGAGGAUGGUAGAAUUCCAGGUGUAGCGGUGAAAUGCGUAGAGAUCUGGAGGAAUACCGAUGGCGAAGGCAGCCAUCUGGCCUAAUACUGACGCUGAGGUACGAAAGCAUGGGGAGCAAACAGGAUUAGAUACCCCCGUAGUCCCUGUCUCUUAUAC
rnacentral:rRNA from 1 species